UGCGUAGGCGGAAUGAUAAGUUAGUGGUGAAAGCCCCCGGCUCAACCGGGGAACUGCCAUUAAUACUGUCAUUCUUGAGUAUAGUUGAAGUGGGCGGAAUGUAUCAUGUAGCGGUGAAAUGCUUAGAUGUGAUACAGAACACCGAUAGCGUAGGCAGCUUGCUAAACUAUAACUGACGCUCAGGCACGAAAGCGUGGGGAGCAAACAGGAUUAGAUACCCUGGUAGUCC
rnacentral:rRNA from 1 species